CAGCAGCCGCGGGAAUACGUAGGUGGCAAGCGUUGUCCGGAAUUAUUGGGCGUAAAGGGCUCGCAGGCGGUUUCUUAAGUCUGAUGUGAAAGCCCCCGGCUCAACCGGGGAGGGUCAUUGGAAACUGGGAAACUUGAGUGCAGAAGAGGAGAGUGGAAUUCCACGUGUAGCGGUGAAAUGCGUAGAGAUGUGGAGGAACACCAGUGGCGAAGGCGACUCUCUGGUCUGUAACUGACGCUGAGGAGCGAAAGCGUGGGGAGCAAACAGGAUUAGAUACCCCCGUAGUCCCUGUCUCUUAUAC
rnacentral:rRNA from 1 species